rnacentral:pre_miRNA from 2 species
AGUGGGAUUGCUUGGUUAUAUGGUAAGUGUAUGUUUAACUUUAUAAGAAACUGCCAAGCUAUUUUCUAGAGUGGCUGUACCAUUUUGCAUUACCACUAGCAAA